CCUCUAUAAACAGGAAGAUGCACGUACUGAACAAGGGAAACGGGUCAACUCUUCUUCAUCCUCACAAACUCUCCAAAGCUCACUUUUUGCUUCAAACCCUUCAAAACUUGGUGAAUGAGCAAACUCCUGCAUGAGCUGCUCAAAAUACUUGCAGAUGAGUCAUAGAAGACGUGGCUAAUUCAUGGCAAGAAUCUGAGGCCAACAUCUGUCAAAAGCCAUGACUCAGCUUGGCUGGCCAACUCAUCGUCGGCUGCCCACGCACAUGCAAGACCAUGCAACAUUCGGGGGCCGAACUUCCCUUCGGAAGCCAAACACUUUCGGCGGCCGAACUUACUUUCGGCGGCCGAACU
rnacentral:lncRNA from 1 species